AAACCUCACUCCUCAAAGAAGAAAAAAAAAAACGGACGGUGCUGAUAAACCUCAUUCUCUCAUCUGAGUCGUCUCCUCUCUCCUUUCUUCUCCAGCGUCCGAUCCUCCAUUUCCCAACUCCAUCCAAAGCCUCUCCCUCUCUCGCGCCCAUUUUUCUUUAAUAAGUGUUUCUUCUUCUAGCGUUGCGAUGGCGGAAGUUCCGACGAGUCCGAACGGAGGAGGCAGCUACGACGAGAGCGGCGAUCAGAGCCCGCGCUCCAACGUUCGCGAGCAGGACCGGUUUCUUCCGAUCGCGAACAUUAGCCGGAUCAUGAAGAAGGCUCUCCCUGCCAAUGGAAAGAUCGCCAAGGAUGCCAAGGAAACCGUCCAAGAAUGCGUCUCUGAGUUCAUCAGCUUCAUCACCAGCGAGGCUAGUGAUAAGUGCCAGAGAGAGAAGAGGAAGACUAUUAAUGGAGAUGAUUUGCUUUGGGCUAUGGCUACUCUAGGGUUUGAAGACUAUAUCGAUCCACUCAAGAUUUACCUCGCCAGAUAUAGAGAGAUGGAGGGUGACACCAAGGGGUCAGCAAAGGGUGGAGAAUCAUCUGCUAAGAAAGAUGUUCAGCCAAGUCCAAAUGCUCAGAUUGCUCAUCAAGGUUCUUUCUCGCAAGGUGUUAAUUACGCAACUUCUCAAAGCCAGUCUUUUUGGAAUUAGGGUUUGCCGCCAAAGUAGGUGCUUUUAAAUCGGAAUCCCAUAAUUGAAAUUGUCUCAGGCACAACAUCUGAUGAUUCCUAUGCAAGGCUCAGAUUAGAUUUCUGCUCGAUCAUUACUAAUUCCACCAUUUGGCGUCCUGCUUGAGGAGAUCUUUUUCAGUGCCCACAACAAAUAUUUAUUCUUAUGUGAACACUGACAUUUUAGGGUCUUUUGGGCACUAUUGUCCAAUCCAUAUGUAUUCUAGGUAUGGUUUGUAUGUUUAGGGGUGUCUUUCGAUUAAAAUAUUUAUUUUAAGAAAACACUGUAAAUCUUGGGUCCUGUGAUUUGUUAACUGGGUGUUUUGGCAAUAUGUUAUGGAGCUGAUUAUGAAACUGUUUUUUUA